AACGAACGCUGGCGGCAUGCCUAAAAACACAUGCAAGUCGAACGAAGCCUUCGGGCUUAGUGGCGCACGGGUGCGUAACACGUGGGAAUCUGCCCUUCGGUUCGGAAUAACAGUUAGAAAUGACUGCUAAUACCGGAUGAUGACGUAAGUCCAAAGAUUUAUCGCCGAGGGAUGAGCCCGCGUAGGAUUAGGUAGUUGGUAGGGUAAUGGCCUACCAAGCCGACGAUCCUUAGCUGGUCUGAGAGGAUGAUCAGCCACACUGGGACUGAGACACGGCCCAGACUCCUACGGGAGGCAGCAGUGGGGAAUAUUGGACAAUGGGCGAAAGCCUGAUCCAGCAAUGCCGCGUGAGUGAUGAAGGCCUUAGGGUUGUAAAGCUCUUUUACCAGGGAUGAUAAUGACAGUACCUGGAGAAUAAGCUCCGGCUAACUCCGUG
rnacentral:rRNA from 1 species